UUGGACAAGUAAUGCAGGAUCCUUUUCAAGAUCAGCUGUCAACCAUGAAAGUGGUGCAAAAUCAGGAGUAUCUGCGAUUGUUUCAGGAAUUCUAAUGACCUGUGCACUUAUGUUCUUAACUCCACUAUUUGAGUCCAUACCUCAGGUUCGUUUCCAUUUCCUUAUAUAGGCCAUAUGCCAUGUUUGGAAACGUUAUCCAUGGUUUUAUCUGUUUUGGAUUUGGACUAAAAUAAAAUAGUUCAAAUUGAAGUUCCACUUCACAUUUUACAGAUGACAUCUUCUGGAGUUCUCUCCAUAAAAGCUAGAACGAAAUUUAAUAGGAAAUGGAAUUAAGAAAUUUGAAGUUUCUCCUUUUAUUCAUAUUGAUCUUAAUUUUAUACGUAGUUCUUGUUACCUUAUUCUGACCCAUGUUUAAAUUUAAGAGUUCAGACAUUCAUUUUUUUGUGUGGAGUUCUGACUAUGAAUUUUAUGGUUGCAAUUAUCCAGUGUACUCUUGCUGCCAUUGUGAUCUCUGCUGUGAUAGGUCUGGUAAGAAUCCAACUUCAUGUCGAGGCAUUAAUUCCAUAUUCAACAUCCAUGUAUAGUUGGAAAUGCUAUUUUAUUCAAUUCAGAAACAAGAGGGAGAAAUAACUUUAUUAGUCUUAUGAAGUAGAGUUCAUCUCUAUCCUUGUUAGACUUAUAUGAUAUAUAUUUGAUCUUUUUAACAUUAUUAACUUAGUUUGGUUUUGUUUUGGAAUCUAAUACACUGCAUGGAAGUGUUUAUCUAGCUUUUACUGUAACUUUUACUAUUCUAAUAUGGCAACAAGUCUGUGUUUAUUAAUAGUUAUCUAAUCAUCUAGUUUGUGUGUAAUAUUUUCAUGUCUAACUCAACUAAUUUUAUAAUAUGCAAAUUUAAACAAUGGUCUCUUGCAGAAAAUUUUACUUUAGGUGCUAAAUCAUUUUGCUGGUUAACUUGUUUGUCUAAAAUUACCUGACUAAGUUUCGCUGGUUAUCACACUUUUCACAUCUCAACAUUUACUCCAAAUUUUUGACAUGACCAUUUCAGGUAGAUUAUGAUGAGGCCAUUUUUUUGUGGCGCGUAGAUAAGAAAGAUUUUCUUCUUUGGACCAUUACCAGCACAACUACAUUAUUCCUUGGUAUUGAGAUUGGCGUGAUUAUUGGGGUAGGUACAAAGUGAAAUUUGUUAUAUUACUAAGUAAUGGCUGUGUAAUGAUUGCAGAAAUUUCCUUUUUAUUCUUUGUUAAGAAACUCCUCAUGUCCUGAUGCAUCUCCUUACUGUGAUAACUCCUUUGUUGUUGAGAUGGUUUCUCUGUAUUCCACUUGCUAAGUUGCUUCAUACUCCAUGUAGUAAGAUAAUCACUUUUCUGACUUUAUAAGCAUAUUGAAAUUUUAGGUUGGUGUUUCACUUGCUUUUGUCAUUCAUGAGUCAGCAAAUCCACAUAUCGGUAAGUUUAUUUAUCUAUAUACGUCUUAUGUAUGUCGUUCUUCAUUUCAUCAUGUACGGAGUCGAAUCACAUAUUGUAUCUUUUGCAUACGCAUAUCCAAAAAACAUGUCAUUCAUUCAAAUAUUAAUUUAGGUAAACAUAAAACCUAACUUACUGAUGACAAACUUGAACCUAAGUCCUCAAGUGGUAACUGGUGAGACCAAUCUUGGGUAUUUAUGUAUCAGCAGAAAAGAAAAAAAUUGAAUUUAUAAUAUGUUGAAGAGCAUUUUCUGAUUGAUGGCAAACCUGUACAACAUAAAGGAAUACUAGCUAACAGUCCUUACAGUAUGAAGGAAGUGUCGUAGACGACAUUUAGUUUUACUUUUAUUACGUUUACUGAAUUAAUCUUUUGAGUAUGCUGAUAUUGUUGUUGCUGUGUUCUACAGCUAUUUUGGGACGUUUGCCAGGAACAACUGUUUAUAGAAAUGUUAAACAAUAUCCUGAAGCAUAUACAUACAAUGGAAUUGUAAUUGUUCGUAUUGAUGCUCCUAUUUAUUUUGCAAACACAAGUUACAUAAAGGACAGGUAACAAGAAAUCAACUAAAGCCGACAUUUCCCAAUCAAGGGCGCUGUUUAAUUACUUUAGAGUUGUCUAUCAGGUUGCGAGAAUAUGAAGUUACUGCUGAUACUUCUACAAGACACGGACCCGAUGUUGAAAGAAUUUAUUUUGUUAUUCUAGAGAUGGCUCGUAAGUCUUGCUUACCUUGUGCUCAAAGAUUGUUAAAACCAUUAUCUAAAGUUUUUAUUUUAUUUUUUCAUUGAACAUUAUUAUAGGCAUUUAUUUAACUUGUUUGUAUGAUAAAAACUAGUAUUUUAAUUCAACUACUAACCCUAAAUAUGUAACCAUUUGUGUCUAUUGUUAUUCUAUGCUCCAAGUUAAUUGUUGUAGCCGUUCUUUUGCUGUGAUUACCUCCCUAAAUUGAUUAUGCACUAAGUGAGAAGGAUGUUCUUUGUGUCUUGUUUGAUCAUCGAGUUUUUUAUAUUUUAAGACUAUUAGGGUUGUGAUAAUUGUUUUAGUAUUCUUGAUUUACUUUCCUUUUUGUUGUCAUAUAUGAAUUCUUUUGUAGAUGAUAACUAUGUAGGAUUAAUACCUUUAAGUCAGUAACAUGUUGAUGAAUCAGAUAAAAACUAAGUUAACAAAACAAAUAUUACUGUUUUUUGAUUAGGUGGGAAAUAUACCUCAGGGCCUUCCAAAAUUUUCUGUUCCUAGAGCUUUUGAGUAUGCAGAGUCCUUAAUUCCAACCGCUUUUCUCAUAACUGGUGUGGCUAUAUUGGUAAGAUCUUUUUUCCCAUUUGGUUUACCUAUUUAAGUGUGAUUAAAGUACAAGCUUGGGAACUUGUUCUCCAUUUACUUUAAAUUUUAAUCUACAGGAAUCAGUGGGAAUUGCCAAGGCAUUAGCAGCAAAAAAUGGCUAUGAGUUGGAUUCAAAUCAAGAGGUAUAUUUCUUUCUAAAAUAUAUUUACAACUCCCUGUUUGGUGGCUGUUGUUAGUACCUCUAAUCAGGUUAUGCACCCUGAAAUAGGAUAUGGUUCUGACUAGGUAUCAUUCCUGCCAAUUAUUGGAUAUGUCUUGUUUCUUGAAAAAACAAUUAUGUAAGAAUCUUGUUGAGAGCCAGUUCAGUUUCUCAAGAGUCUAUAAGGUGUGAAGUUUGAUUAUAGCUAUAGUAAAGGGAAGACUGGUUCUUUAAAGCGCCCUCUAUGUAUGGUGUCCGGGGAAGGUUCAGACCCACUGCGGGUUUAGAGUAGGCAUUCUUAUCUUGCAUUUGUAUGAGGUUGAUUCCAUUGCUCAAGCCUGUGACCUCCAAGUCACAUGGUGGCAAGUGGUGAUAACUCCCACCGUUAUGCCAAAGAUUUGAUUGGCCCCCAAGAUUCAACUCAGUUGGUUAAUCUUCGGGACAUAAAGUGAGAGUGCUCAGAUUCAAAUCAGGGACGUACGCUCUCCUUGAAAAAAUAAAAUAAAAGAAGUUCACCCAAAAAAAAAAUUACAUACAAAGGAUAGGAUUGUAGCUGUAGUUAAAAGACAGAGGAAAUAAGUUGUUGUUUUGUUAAGUGGAAAUACUUCAUAACUAUUGUUCUGAAUAUUUUUGGACAGUUGUUUGGUCUUGGUGUUUCCAAUAUUCUUGGUUCGUUCUUUUCAGCAUACCCCACCACUGGUAAGACUUCUUUGUAACUCUGAAAACUAAAAUAAGGAGUCAAUAUUUUGUAGUUUUCUAAUUGGCUUUCGGUGCUAAAGCAUCAAUUGAUUUUAAGAUUAUGAUUUUACUCAAGAUGAAACUCAUUUUUCAAUGUUAAAGAAUAUACGGAAUGAUUUUUCAUUUCUUUUGGACAAGUAAUGCAGGAUCCUUUUCAAGAUCAGCUGUCAACCAUGAAAGUGGUGCAAAAUCAGGAGUAUCUGCGAUUGUUUCAGGAAUUCUAAUGACCUGUGCACUUAUGUUCUUAACUCCACUAUUUGAGUCCAUACCUCAGGUUCGUUUCCAUUUCCUUAUAUAGGCCAUAUGCCAUGUUUGGAAACGUUAUCCA
rnacentral:lncRNA from 1 species